UUAAAAUGAUACAAAAUUUAUUGGGUAAUAACAAUACUAAAAAUAUAUUCACAUGCGAUCAAAAGUUAAAAAAUGAAGAUCAGGAACGUAUUGCAAGAAGGUUACCAGCUCUUCAGCAGUCCUAAUAUCAACUGACCCGCAGGGACCAUCCAGGAUGGAUAUGGAUACAGUAUUGCUCUUACUGUGAUCUCUGGCUGUCGGCUGUCAGGUUGGCGUGCGUCCCAGACCUCACUCUGAGAGAUGCAUGCUUGCCGGCCGGUCGGUCCCCAGAUGUUUCGGUAUCACACUCUCAAUGAGGAGGUGUUGCUUGCUGCUGGUUUACAGAACCUCUGCGUCCGUAUCCUGUUCUGUCUAACGCGUUUCGUGGGUGUCAGCCCCACUUCAUCAGAGACGGGAUGAGGAUUCAAUAAUCCGUAUUGAAUAAAUAUGCUUUUGGCUAAUUGUAAUUAAUAACAUAAGUGUCAUUACUAAAAACAUUGUUAAAAGACAUCAUGUGCUCAGUGUUUAACCCUUGAUGGUACAUAUAUGUGCAUAUAGGAAGGUAAAU